rnacentral:lncRNA from 1 species
CCGAUUUUGACUCCGGUUUAUAUUUUAUUUUAGAUCUCUACGAUAAAGGUAGAAAAGGUAUAUAUAAAUAUAAAAGUUUCAUUUUUCUCUUCUAUUGAAAUUAAACUGUUCCGCCGUUCCAUCUACAAUGUAUAGCUUCGCACCGAAGGAACGGGUUGGAGCCAUCGUCACCUUGGCAUUAAUUGGACGAGUUACAAAUUCAACGAUUCGCUAAUGAAAUUGACCAUUUAUAGGGAUAGGAAAUUGCAAAUGUUGAUACUGGGAUGCCGCAAAAUAAACAAGUCUGAGAAACAUUUAUCUGUUAAUUAGCCCCAUGGUGGUAGCGCAGAUAAAUGACAAACGAGCGUGUUAUCAGGUUCUUGACAAACUGAGCAGGUGUCUUUCAUUCCCUUAAGAACUCAGUAAGGUUAUAAAAAAUCAACGCACUAGUGACUACAUACUGUAGAUUCUUCAUUAUCAGAUUAUGUAUAUGUUCCUGUCACAAGUAUUUGUACAGUGACAAUUUAUUAUUGUAUAGAAGAUCAUGAUGUCUAUUAGAUGUAUCUGGUGUGAUUUUUCUUAUUUUACCACUUAAGAUGAAAGAGCAAUUUUGUCCACAAUUUUAAACAAAACUAGGGUUUGAAAUCAGGGGAGGCAGGGGUUUGGGGGCCGCCGAAUGAGGCCGAUUUUUUUCUCAUUAAAAUGGCUAAAAAUUACCCUUUUUCCUUCGAUUUCCUUACUUUAAGAAACAUCAGUAUUGCUUGAACCUGGAAACAAUUUUUAUGCAAAAACAAGCUGAGAUUGCUGUUCGGGUGAGCCAAGGCUCCGUCUUGAAGGCCGUACUUUGACCUAUAAUUAUUAACAUUAAAUACCUUGUGAACGCAGAUUUUUUUCUCAAAUUUAAAAUGGCUUAAAUGACCCGUUUUCCCUUCGAUUUCCUUUCUUUAAGAAACAUCAGUAUUGCCGGAUCCUGGAAGCAAUUUUUAUGCAAAAAAUUAUUAUCUGUAUUUUAAAAUCUUUUUGUUAGAAAUAAAACUGAUAAGUUAAAAAAAAAACAUAUAAAGCAAGAUCAAAGAACGCAAGAUAUAUUUUUUUAUCGAGGACCUGAGAAUUUCAAUAUUGUUGAAAGCUGAACAACACAUGUACAUGUAUAUAACUACAACCAGGGACUUUCUAUACUAGUAUAUACUUAGUAUAGAAAGUCCCUGCUACAACGAAUGGGAGUGUUUAAAUAUUAGGGCAAUUUUAAAGGCAUUGAUCAUAAUGUUCUCGUACGAUCAGGAAACGUUAAAAAAAAUGAUCCAACUGCUGAUUCAGCUGGUUACGAAUUUCCGAUAUUAUUAAAGAUUCACAAUACAAAGGGAACUUCCUAUGCUUAAUUGAGUACCUAAAUAAAUGUGAGCAGUUAAGUUUUAUUCAAAAUUAUUGAAAAACAAAGUUUAAUAUAUGGUCUCGUACGAAUCUGAAUAACAGACAGACGGCCACACGAAAAAAAAAACAAACAAAUACUGAAACAUUUCACUAUCGAUCAAAAAUCUGAAAAAUGACAUGUAUCACGUAUCAUGAUA